rnacentral:rRNA from 1 species
CCAGGCUUGCUACUUCGAUGUCGUCUCUUCCUAUCCUGGGUGUGCAGAAGCACCCAAGGGUGGGGUUGUUCGCCCAUUAAAAGGGAUCGUGAGAUGGGUUUAGACCGUCGUGAGACAGGUUUGUUGCUUUGUGGUUGAAGCGUGUAAGAUGCCUGAUCGGAAGGGCCCUUUAGUACGAGAGGAACGAGGGCUCGGAGCCACUAGUUUACCAGUUGUCUGGCAAGGCAAUGCUGGGUAGCCACGCUCCAGUGGAUAAGAGCUGAAAGCAUCUAAGCUCGAAGUCAUCCGAAAGACGAGGCACCUCAGGGGACUCGUAGAAGACGAGUUUGAUAGACAGCGGGUGUAAGCACCGAGGUUCGCCGAGGUGUUCAGCCCAGCUGCACUAACCCCCCGAG